rnacentral:rRNA from 1 species
GACGAACGCUGGCGGCGUGCCUAACACGUGCAAGUCGAGCGGAGUCAGUAAGAGGAAGUUUUCGGAUGGAAUCUUAUUGAUUUAGCGGCGGACGGGUGAGUAACGCGUGAGCGACCAACCUUGCACAGGGGGAUAACGGACCGAAAGGUUCACUAAUACCGCAUGAGACCACGGUGUUGCAUGACACAGAGGUCAAAGGAGCGAUCCGGUGAGAGAGGGGCUCGCGUCCGAUUAGGUAGUUGGCGGGGUAACGGCCCACCAAGCCAAAGAUCGGUAGCCGGCCUGAGAGGGUGAACGGCCACAUUGGAACUGAGAGACGGUCCAAACUCCUACGGGAGGCAGCAGUGGGGAAUAUUGGGCAAUGGGGGAAACCCUGACCCAGCAACGCCGCGUGAGGGAAGAAGGUUUUCGGAUUGUAAACCUCUGUUCUUGGUGAAGAGAAGAAGACGGUAGCCAAGGAGGAAGCCCCGGCUAACUACGUGCCAGCCGCCGCGGUAA